CGUUGAUGAUCGGUGCUUGCACCGAGAUUCAACAUGGAACGAGUGGCGGACGGGUGAGUAACACGUGGGUAACCUGCCCUUAAGUGGGGGAUAACAUUUGGAAACAGAUGCUAAUACCGCAUAGAUCCAAGAACCGCAUGGUUCUUGGCUGAAAGAUGGCGUAAGCUAUCGCUUUUGGAUGGACCCGCGGCGUAUUAGCUAGUUGGUGAGGUAAUGGCUCACCAAGGCGAUGAUACGUAGCCGAACUGAGAGGUUGAUCGGCCACAUUGGGACUGAGACACGGCCCAAACUCCUACGGGAGGCAGCAGUAGGGAAUCUUCCACAAUGGACGCAAGUCUGAUGGAGCAACGCCGCGUGAGUGAAGAAGGCUUUCGGGUCGUAAAACUCUGUUGUUGGAGAAGAAUGGUCGGCAGAGUAACUGUUGUCGGCCUGACGGUUUC
rnacentral:rRNA from 1 species